rnacentral:rRNA from 1 species
GUGAGUAUCGGAUUAUUGGGCGUAAGAGCUCGUAGGCGGUUUGUCGCGUCUGCCGUGAAAGUCCGGGGCUCAACUCCGGAUCUGCGGUGGGUACGGGCAGACUAGAGUGAUGUAGGGGAGACUGGAAUUCCUGGUGUAGCGGUGAAAUGCGCAGAUAUCAGGAGGAACACCGAUGGCGAAGGCAGGUCUCUGGGCAUUAACUGACGCUGAGGAGCGAAAGCAUGGGGAGCGAACAGGAUUAGAUACCCUGGUAGUCCAUGCCGUAAACGUUGGGCACUAGGUGUGGGGGACAUUCCACGUUUUCCGCGCCGUAGCUAACGCAUUAAGUGCCCCGCCUGGGGAGUACGGCCGCAAGGCUAAAACUCAAAGGAAUUGACGGGGGCCCGCACAAGCGGCGGAGCAUGCGGAUUAAUUCGAUGCAACGCGAAGAACCUUACCAAGGCUUGACAUGGGCCGGACCGGGCUGGAAACAGUCCUUCCCCUUUGGGGCCGGUUCACAGGUGGUGCAUGGUUGUCGUCAGCUCGUGUCGUGAGAUGUUGGGUUAAGUCCCGCAACGAGCGCAACCCUUGUUCCAUGUUGCCAGCACGUAAAGGUGGGAACUCAUGGGAGACUGCCGCAGACAAUGCGGAGGAAGGCGGGGAUGACGUCAAGUCAUCAUGCCCCUUAUAUCCUGGGCUACACACGUACUACAAUGGGCUCAAAUAGAGGGCAGCGAAGCCGCGAGGCAGAGCGAAUCCCAAAAACGAGCUCUCAGUUCGGAUCGGAGGCUGCAACUCGCCUCCGUGAAGUCGGAAUCGCUAGUAAUCGCAGAUCAGCAUGCUGCGGUGAAUACGUUCCCGGGCCUUGUACACACCGCCCGUCACACCACGAGAGUCUGCAACACCCGAAGUCGGUGAGGUAACCGUAAGGAGCCAGCCGCCGAAAGUGGGGCCGAUGAUGGGGUGAAGUCGUAACAAGGUAC